CCGCGGCGGAGGCGGCCCCGAGGCCCGGCUGACGGGCAAAAAGCGCCGCGCCCGCCCUCAAAUGCGGGGAAAAAAAAACCCAAACCAAGCGAUGCCGCCGCCCCUCACCGCACCCCGGCCUCCCUCAAGACGCUCAUCCCGUCGCGAAGCGCGGGAGCCGCCCGCCGCCGACCGCCCGCGCAACCCCGGCCAUGGCGGCCUGAGGGGAGGCGCGAGGCCGCGCCAACUCUCGCGAGAGCCGCUCGGAAAAUGGCGGCGGGAGGGAGACGACGGGGCCGCAGGGCCGCCCUCGCCACGGCCGCUCCCUGGCCACGGCCCGCACCAGCGCCCGCCUGCUUCUUACAGUGCAGCUCAAAAGAUGGCAGAAAUUCUCAAAUGAAUCAGGCAAGUUUUCCAAAAGAAAAAUCACUUCUUUACUUCGCCAAGAUCUUCAAUGCUGUCAUCAUCCACCUGCAAAACACGGAUUGAUUACACUUCAUGAGUUGUGGGAAAGGGAAAUAAAAUGGAUGUUGUAUAACAUGUUUUGAAAAACCUACCAGUUGAAAGUAUUUUUUAUACACUCACCUCUGGCCACUUCUCCUGAAUUACAUCAAUAAUGUCAUCUGUAAAGUCUCCCUGAAUGAUGAUUUCAUCCUCCCCUGUAACUGAGGCACCGCAGGAGAAUUUCUGAGCAAAAAACCUUUGUGCUUCUUUAAGAUCAAUUUCUGUUGAAAGAAGUAAAGAGUAAUGGAAUUA